GCGAGCUGGAGGGCAUCUGACGCUGACGCAAGUCGGUGAGGAAACUCCGCCCAUCACUGCGGAACCCGGCCCCUUGCAAAAGGGAGGGCCGAGAGGCCCAGCACUGGAGCAGAAACGAUACGUCCGCGCGUGCGGAAUGAUACCAAAAGUUGACGUCGCGCGCAGUGACGAUGAAACGGCCACCUCCGGGGAUGCAAGCCCAAAUAAAAGCCGCUUACGUCCGCACGAGGCUUAUAGUGGGGCGCUUAGUCGAAUGAUGCCAAUCUACACGAAAAAAUUUGCCAUUUUCGAUGGUGAAUUUUAGAGUGGAGACUAACAGAAGGCGGGUUACUCCCAGCACGC
rnacentral:RNase_P_RNA from 1 species